CCUACGGGUGGCAGCAGUGAGGAAUAUUGGUCAAUGGGCGCGAGCCUGAACCAGCCAAGUCGCGUGAGGGAUGACUGCCCUACGGGUUGUAAACUUCUUUUAUCAGGGAGUAACGUGAGGCACGUGUGCCUCUUUGUAUGUAAUUUGUAAAUAAGGAUCGGCUAACUCCGUUCCAGCCGCCGACGGAAUACCGAGGAUCCGAGGGUUUUCCGGAUUUAUUGGGUUUAAAGGGAGCGGAGGUGGGUUGUUAAGUCAGUUGGGAAAGUUUGCGGCUUAACCCCAUAAUCGCCAUUGAUACUGGCGGCCUUGAGUACAGGUGAGGUAGGCGGAAUGCGUGGUGUAGCGGUGAAAUGCAUAGAUAUCACGCAGAACCCCGAUUGCGAAGGCAGCAUGC
rnacentral:rRNA from 1 species